CAGCCUGAUGCAGCCAUGCCGCGUGUAUGAAGAAGGCCUUCGGGUUGUAAAGUACUUUCAGUCGUGAGGAAGGCGGCGUCGUUAAUAGCGGCGUUGUUUGACGUUAGCGACAGAAGAAGCACCGGCUAACUCCGUGCCAGCAGCCGCGGUAAUACGGAGGGUGCGAGCGUUAAUCGGAAUUACUGGGCGUAAAGCGCAUGCAGGUGGUUUGUUAAGUCAGAUGUGAAAGCCCGGGGCUCAACCUCGGAAUAGCAUUUGAAACUGGCAGACUAGAGUACUGUAGAGGGGGGUAGAAUUUCAGGUGUAGCGGUGAAAUGCGUAGAGAUCUGAAGGAAUACCGGUGGCGAAGGCGGCCCCCUGGACAGAUACUGACACUCAGAUGCGAAAGCGUGGGGAGCAAACAGGAUUAGAUACCCUGGUAGUCCACGCCGUAAACGAUGUCUACUUGGAGGUUGUGGCCUUGAGCCGUGGCUUUCGGAGCUAACGCGUUAAGUAGACCGCCUGGGGAGUACGGUCGCAAGAUUAAAACUCAAAUGAAUUGACGGGGGCCCGCACAAGCGGUGGAGCAUGUGGUUUAAUUCGAUGCAACGCGAAGAACCUUACCUACUCUUGACAUCCAGAGAACUUUCCAGAGAUGGAUUGGUGCCUUCGGGAACUCUGAGACAGGUGCUGCAUGGCUGUCGUCAGCUCGUGUUGUGAAAUGUUGGGUUAAGUCCCGCAACGAGCGCAACCCUUAUCCUUGUUUGCCAGCGAGUAAUGUCGGGAACUCCAGGGAGACUGCCGGUGAUAAACCGGAGGAAGGUGGGGACGACGUCAAGUCAUCAUGGCCCUUACGAGUAGGGCUACACACGUGCUACAAUGGCGCAUACAGAGGGCGGCCAACUUGCGAGAGUGAGCGAAUCCCAAA
rnacentral:rRNA from 1 species